UAUGUGAUCGUCUCUCGCAUAUCAAUAAGCGGAGGAAAAGAAACUAACAAAGAUUCCCUUAGUAACGGCGAGUGAAGCGGGAAGAGCUCAAAUUUGAAAUCUUCAAGGUUUUACCUUGACGAAUUGUAGUUUAAAGAAGUGUUUUCUGUUGAAGUUUUGGUAAAAGUUCUUUGGAAUAGGACAUCAUAGAGGGUGAGAAUCCCGUAUUUGACCAUUAUUUUCAGCUGUGUGAUACACUUUCAAAGAGUCGGAUUGUUUGGGAAUGCAGUCCAAAAUGGGUGGUAAAUUUCAUCUAAAGCUAAAUAUUGGCGAGAGACCGAUAGCGAACAAGUACCGUGAGGGAAAGAUGAAAAGAACUUUGAAAAGAGAGUUAAACAGUACGUGAAAUUGUCAAAAGGGAAGCGUUUGACACCAGUGUUGUUUUCUCGAAAAUCAAUUAAAAAGAGUUAGAUUUUGUUGUGUAUUGACCUUAACAGCUUGCAUUUCAAUUUUCUUGCUUUUUUUAAUGCACUUUUCGUUUAACAAGUCAACAUCAGUUUCUUUUGUUGUAAAAAGGUCAUUGGAAGGUGGCUUUCUUUUCGGAGAAAGUGUUUAUAGCCUUUGACUCCUGCAAUCGGAGAGACUGAGGUCUGCAGCGUAGAUCCUUCGGGGUUAGAUACAUUUGUGCUAAGUUAUAGCUUUUUAUAGACAACUUGUUGACUAUGAUUAGUCUUGUAGCUUACUCGCUUAUGCUAUUUUACCUACGCUUAGGAUGUUGAAGAUGUAGCACAUCAU
rnacentral:rRNA from 1 species